AGAGUUUGAUCCUGGCUCAGAACGAACGCUGGCGGCGUGGAUUAGGCAUGCAAGUCGGACGGGAACCUUUAGUUCCAAUUCUUCGGAAAAGAAACUUUUGGGGAGAGUGGCGAAAGGGUGAGUAUCGCGUGGGCAAUUUGCCCUUAAGUUGGGGAUAGCUUUUCGAAAGGAAAGGUAAUACCGAAUGUGGUCGGGAGUCGCAUGGCUCCUUGUCUAAAGGUGGGGAUUCUUCGGAACCUGCCGCUUAAGGAUGAGCCCGCGUCCCAUCAGCUUGUUGGUAGGGUAAUGGCUUACCAAGGCAAUAACGGGUAGCUGGUCUGAGAGGAUGGUCAGCCACACUGGGACUGAGACACUGCCCAGACUCCUACGGGAGGCUGCAGUCGAGAAUCAUUCGCAAUGCGCGAAAGCGUGACGAUGCGACGCCGCGUGCAGGAUGACGGCCUUCGGGUUGUAAACUGCUGUCAUGAGAGAACAACCGCCCGGGUAUUAAUACUACUUGGGUCUGAUAGUAUCUCAAGAGGAAGCCACGGCUAACUCUGUGCCAGCAGCCGCGGUAAUACAGAGGUGGCAAGCGUUGUUCGGAUUUACUGGGCGUAAAGGGUGCGUAGGCGGUACCGUGUGUCGGAUGUGAAAUCUCUACUUUCAUGGUGGAAACUGCAUUCGAAACUGCGGAACUAGAGUACGGGAGAGGUGAGUGGAAUUCUUGGUGUAGCGGUGAAAUGCGUAGAUAUCAAGAGGAACGCCGGUGGCGAAGGCGACUCACUGGAACGAUACUGACGCUGAGGCACGAAAGCUGGGGGAGCAAACAGGAUUAGAUACCCUGGUAGUCCCAGCCGUAAACGGUGUGCACUUGGUGCAGGCGGCUUUAACCCCGUCUGUGCCGGAGCUAACGCGUUAAGUGCACCGCCUGGGGAGUACGGUCGCAAGGCUAAAACUCAAAGGAAUUGACGGGGGCCCGCACAAGCGGUGGAGCAUGUGGCUUAAUUCGAUGCAACGCGAAGAACCUUACCUGGGCUUGACAUGUAACUGCACGCCCUGUGAAAGCAGGGAAGCCUUCGAGGGUGUUACGCAGGUGCUGCAUGGCUGUCGUCAGCUCGUGCCGUGAGGUGUUGGGUUAAGUCCCGCAACGAGCGCAACCCUUGUGGUUAGUUGCUAGUUUUCAGAAAUGUAACAAGCACUCUAGCCAGACUGCCCGUGAUAAGCGGGAGGAAGGUGGGGAUGACGUCAAGUCAGUAUGGUCCUUAUGCCCAGGGCUGCACACGUGCUACAAUGGCCGGUACAGAGGGAAGCAAGACCGCGAGGUGGAGCAAAUCCCCAAAACCGUCCUAAGUUCGGAUCGAAGUCUGCAACUCGACUUCGUGAAGCUGGAAUCGCUAGUAAAGGCGUAUCAGCAACGACGCCUUGAAUACGUUCC
rnacentral:rRNA from 1 species